rnacentral:rRNA from 1 species
UGCAUAAUCAUUUGUCUCUUAAUUGGAGUCUGGAAUGAAUGGUUGGAUGAGAAAUUUACUUUCUUUAUUUUAAAAAAAUAAUUUGAUUUUUAGGUUAAAAAGCCUAGAUUUUAUUAUAGGACGAGAAGACCCUAUAGAACUUUAUUCUUUUUUGGUUAAUUAUUUUAUUGAAAAUAAAUAUUUAUAUAUCUUAGUGGAAUUUUGUUGGGGUGACAAAAAAAAUUUUAUAACUUUUUUUAUUUUCUUCAUUUAUUUAUGAAUUUUUGAUCCUUUAUUAUGGAUAAUAAGACUAAGUUACCUUAGGGAUAACAGCGUUAUUAUUUUAGAGAGCUCAUAUCGAUAGAAUAGUUUGCGACCUCGAUGUUGGAUUAAAAUUGGUUUCUGGAGUAGAAGAUUGAUUUACCUGGUCUGUUCGACCAUUAAAAUUUUACAUGAUCUGAGU